rnacentral:rRNA from 1 species
CAACUUUUAACAAUGGAUCUCUUGGCUCUUGCAUCGAUGAAGAACGCAGCGAAUUGCGAAAAGUAAUGUGAAUUGCAGAAUUCCGUGAAUCAUCGAAUCUUUGAACGCACAUUGCGCUCUCUGGUAUUCCGGAGAGCAUGCCUGUUUGAGUAUCAGUUA